rnacentral:lncRNA from 1 species
GCAACUGGAAGGGGCCGCGGCCUCUCCCUUGCAGCUCCGCUAGUGGUGCCUAAACAAUGAUAUCCUGAUUCGCUUUUGGCAAAUCUUAAUUACUUUUACCAACAGUCUCUACAAUUAAGAGGCUUAAGGAGACACGCAUUACUAAAAUCAAAGCUGUUCAUAUCUGCUGCUUUCUCACUGCUUCUGCAAAAGACUUGAGACAACUCACGAUGAAGUGCUCUGUAUCAGUCAGGGUGAUAUUGAUUGCAAGGGACAGAAACCCAAUCAGAAACUCACUGGAGUCAUGAGGAACACUUAUUGGCUCAGAUAACC